AGGGACGGGUCAGUUGAUCUGAACUCAGGAUCACUCGUGUUACACUGCAAUCGCGUGUCGCCCUUAGAGUUUGAUCCUGGCUCAGGAUGAACGCUAGCGGGAGGCCUAACACAUGCAAGCCGAGCGGUAUUUCUUCUUCGGAAGAGAGAGAGCGGCGUACGGGUGCGUAACACGUGUGCAACCUACCUUUAUCUGGGGGAUAGCCUUUCGAAAGGAAGAUUAAUACCCCAUAAUAUAAUGAUUGGCAUCAAUUAUUAUUGAAAACUCCGGUGGAUAGAGAUGGGCACGCGCAAGAUUAGAUAGUUGGUGAGGUAACGGCUCACCAAGUCUGUGAUCUUUAGGGGUCCUGAGAGGGAGAUCCCCCACACUGGUACUGAGACACGGACCAGACUCCUACGGGAGGCAGCAGUGAGGAAUAUUGGACAAUGGGUGAGAGCCUGAUCCAGCCAUCCCGCGUGAAGGAUGACGGUCCUAUGGAUUGUAAACUUCUUUUGUACAGGGAUAAACCUACUCUCGUGAGGGUAGCUGAAGGUACUGUACGAAUAAGCACCGGCUAACUCCGUGCCAGCAGCCGCGGUAAUACGGAGGGUGCAAGCGUUAUCCGGAUUUAUUGGGUUUAAAGGGUCCGUAGGCGGACCCGUAAGUCAGUGGUGAAAUCUCAUAGCUCAACUAUGAAACUGCCAUUGAUACUGCGGGUCUUGAGUAAAUUUGAAGUGGCUGGAAUAAGUAGUGUAGCGGUGAAAUGCAUAGAUAUUACUUAGAACACCAAUUGCGAAGGCAGGUCACUAAGAUUUAACUGACGCUGAUGGACGAAAGCGUGGGUAGCGAACAGGAUUAGAUACCCUGGUAGUCCACGCCGUAAACGAUGCUAACUCGUUUUUGGAUUUUCGGAUUCAGAGACCAAGCGAAAGUGAUAAGUUAGCCACCUGGGGAGUACGUCCGCAAGGAUGAAACUCAAAGGAAUUGACGGGGGCCCGCACAAGCGGUGGAUUAUGUGGUUUAAUUCGAUGAUACGCGAGGAACCUUACCAAGACUUAAAUGGGAAAUGACAGGUUUAGAAAUAGACCCUUCUUCGGACAUUUUUCAAGGUGCUGCAUGGUUGUCGUCAGCUCGUGCCGUGAGGUGUUAGGUUAAGUCCUGCAACGAGCGCAACCCCUGUCACUAGUUGCUAACAUUCAGUUGAGGACUCUAGUGAGACUGCCUACGCAAGUAGAGAGGAAGGUGGGGAUGACGUCAAAUCAUCACGGCCCUUACGUCUUGGGCCACACACGUAAUACAAUGGCCGGUACAGAGGGCAGCUACACAGCGAUGUGAUGCAAAUCUCGAAAGCCGGUCUCAGUUCGGAUUGGAGUCUGCAACUCGACUCUAUGAAGCUGGAAUCGCUAGUAAUCGCGCAUCAGCCAUGGCGCGGUGAAUACGUUCCCGGGCCUUGUACACACCGCCCGUCAAGCCAUGGAAGUUUGGGGUACCUGAAGUCGGUGACCGUAAAAGGAGCUGCCUAGGGUAAAACAAGUAACUAGGGCUAAGUCGUAACAAGGUAACCAAGGGCGACACGCGAUUGCAGUCUUGAGUCCACCG
rnacentral:rRNA from 1 species